rnacentral:rRNA from 1 species
AAUGGGCGAGAGCCUGAACCAGCCAUCCCGCGUGCAGGAAGACGGCCCUAUGGGUUGUAAACUGCUUUUGCGCAUGAAGAAUGUUACCGACGUGUCGGUAAGUGACGGUAAUGCGUGAAUAAGCAUCGGCUAACUCCGUGCCAGCAGCCGCGGUAAUACGGAGGAUGCAAGCGUUAUCCGGAUUUAUUGGGUUUAAAGGGUGCGUAGGCGGCCUUGUAAGUCAGUGGUGAAAACCUGCAGCUCAACUGUAGGCGUGCCAAUGAAACUGUGAGGCUUGAGUGACGUUGAGGCAGGCGGAAUGUGUAGUGUAGCGGUGAAAUGCUUAGAUAUUACACAGAACACCGAUUGCGUAGGCAGCUUGCUAAAGGUUAACUGACGCUGAUGCACGAAAGCGUGGGGAUCGAA